rnacentral:lncRNA from 1 species
ACACAGGGCGGUGGCGGCGGCGGUGGUGGUGAUGGUGACGGUGCUGUGCUACAGGUUUGCACUUGUUUCUCUAUGUGGCAAGGCCCUGCGUGUGACUGCGUUUGUGCGUGUCUGUGAGCACGGUGCGCUGGAAACUGCGUGCUUGGGUCUGUGGCAGGCUGAAUGGAGGAGGGCGGAGGGAGUCCAUGGCUAUGUUUGUACUUGUCUGUGAGCCCGGGGUCAGAUGCGCUCCAUGUGCUACCUCCUGUGUGCACAGGUGGCCGCUGUGUCCAACCGUGUCUUUGUGUGUUUCGGGUUGCCUGAAUGUGCACAGGCGGAGGACAUGGAGGGGGGGAUUUGAGUGCGUGCCUGUGCAGGCCCCUUUAACGUGGCAAGUCUAAGAAAUGUCGGCCUUCUUGGCAGCGAAUCUGGGCUUGGUUCCACUGGGGGCGUCUGCAGAGAGGGGCUCUUAGAAGGGACGUGCUUGAGCGAGAGAGACAGGAAGGGAAGGGGGGGCCAGCCCCAGCUCGGGGUUUCCAGGAGGGAAAGCCAGACAUUGGAACUUGUCAACGCUACCUCCUUCCCUGCCCCCACCUUCCACUGCUGCCUCCCCUCCUGGCGCCUGAAGGCUGCUGGCAGACGGACAGACAGACAGACAGUGCACACAUAGACUGGCUCAUAGGCACAGAGCCCAAACCUGAGCCCCUAAAUGCACAAGCCUGGACACUGAGGUCCAGAGAGGGCAAAGGAAGUAGCUGAGUCUCGGAGGAGCACAUGUGUUUAUGCAUGUUGGGGGCAGGGGGUGCUGUUGGCCUCUGGUGCUUCAACCCAGACUGGAGCCCAGGCCUAGGGCGGGGAAGAGGCUGUGGAGAGCCUCUGGGGAGGGGCUUUUAUGGCUCUAACCAGGCCCUCAAGGCCCCCAGCUCCUCUCCCUGUUUAUACAACUGCUGCAGUGUCUUUGAGAGUCCUGUUGCCUCAAAAAAACACCUACCGCAACUCCCUGUUUGUACAGAGGCAGAAAAGACCCAGAGAGGAGCAGCAGCUGAUCCAGGGUCACACAGCAGAACCAGGACUGGAAUCCAGGGCUCCUUCUCCUAGCUGUGCAUGUUGGCCCAUGGGCCACUUAGUCUUAUCUUUCCCUUGGUCCAUUUAUCUUUUCUUCCUCCCAGGUCUUCGGGAUAUGACAACGACCUCUUUUUUGUGUUGCUUUUGUUGCCCAAGUGAUAUGUCUGUCUGCCUGUUAGUCCAUCUGUUUGUCACAGGGCUUCAAUACCCUCUGGCAGAAUACGGAAGAGAAGAGGGCUUGGUUUUUGGCCAAGGGCUAUUGGAGAGAUAGGGGUGGGAUGGGGAGACAGAGAAACAGAACGAAAGGAAUUUGAGACGAGAGGAAGGAGGAGAGAAGAGCAAGGGGAGGGCACUGGCGGCAGAGCUGAGAAGCCCAGGCUGCCCUUUACCUCCACCUCCAGCCUGGGCACAGGGGCGAGCUCUGAGCUCAGAGACUCUGAGUCCUGCCUCUUGGGGCCUUGGGGAGAGGACCCCAGGGCUCCUGUAGGGUCUGGGCCCAACCCCCAAACCCUGGGGGCAGCUGGGUUGGAGUCCUGGGGUCAGUAUUCGGGGUGCAGGUGUGGGGUGCAGUGACCGAACUGCCCUCAUGGGAAAAGGAGGGAGGGGAUUGCAGGUACCUAGGGGGCAUGAACCUGGGCAUGCGUUGACUUAGUGUGUGUGGUCUCUUUGCAGCAGGGUUGUUGAGAGUGUGCGUGAGGUUGCGAGUACGCUAGGACUCUGUGUGGACACCUAUGAACAUACAUGACCCAGUGGCAGACAAGCUGGGAUUUCAGUGGGGAGGGGAAGGACUGCAGGAAUGUGUGUCUAUGACCGGCAGGGAGUGGUUGUCUAUGUGUGGAAGGAUUUGUGUGAACCUGCCUUACAUGUUCUUGGGGAGGCUGUAUCCUGUGUAUGUAGGCAGGUGAACUGUAUAGCUCUGUACAAUUGUGUGUGGUGUGUGUGUGUGUGUGUGUGUGUGUGUGUGUGUCUGGAUGAAUAUGUACCAUGUGUUUGAAUUGCUUAAGUAUUUACAUGUUAAAUGUGUAACUGCAUAUAAGUGUGGAUGUGUAUACAUGUUUGUAAUUGUCUUGAGGUAUAUGUGUGGAGUUACCUGUAUGAGUCUUGCCUGUAGGUUGUGUGUGCAGUUGUGUGUAUUUGUGGAGCAGUGAAUAUUAGGAAGCUGUUCACAUGUGCGGUUGUGUAUUUUGGGGGAUUAGGUUAUAUGUGUCGUUCUUUUUGGAUGGAGUUUCACUCUUGUCACCCAGGCUGGAGUGUAGUGUCAGGAUCCCGGCUCACUGCAACCUCUGCCUCCUGAGUUCAAGCAAUUCUCGUGUCUCAGCCUCCCGAGUAGCUGGGAUCACAGGUGUGUGCCACCACGCCUGGCUAAUUUUUGUAUUUUUAGUAGAGACGGGGUUUUGCCAUGUUGCCCAGGCUGGUCUUGAACUCCUGGCCUCAAGUGAUCUGUCCACCUCGACCUCCCAAAGGGCUGCGAUCACAGGUGCGAGCCACCGUGCCUGGCCUAUAUUUGUGGUUCUUAAGGCUAUACUUUAUUUUUUAUUUUUUGUUUAUUGUCAAACUUCCCCUGUCAGAAUGUAAACUCUAUUAGGACUGAAAUUUUUAUCUAUUUUGCUAACUAUUUUGCUAAUCUAUUCCUAGUGUCCAGAAUAGGGCCCAACACUUAGUAGGCACUGUAUACAUAUUUCUCCAAUGAAUGAUGAAUGAAAGUGUGCAUGCUUGGCAGGGUGUGGGAAGUGUGUUAGGUGUAUGAAUCGUGCGUGUGUGUCUGGGUGUGUGAAUGGAUAAAUUUUUUGUGUCUUGAGUGUGUGAGGUUUCUAGCAUAAGUGGCCUAUGAACCAAGUACGUGCACAGGUGCAUGUGUGUCUAGGCGUGUGACUGUGUACCUGAAGCUGGGCCACGUCUGUGAGCAUUGCACACAACUGUGUGCAUGCACAGUUGUGUGUGCUUGUACAUGGGGGUGGGAAGGCGCUGUCGGCUUCUCCCAGCCUUCAGCACUCACUCAGCUUCACCCCAGGUCGCCUGCUGCGAAAUGUCAGUGGCAGAGAAGCUAAAAAUAUCUGCUCUCCUCCUUCUGCUCACUGCUUGGGCUGAUGGGACUGUGGGGCCCCAGCCGGCCCCUUGGGCCCUGCGGGGAGGAGGAACUGCUGGAUGAGGGGGCGGGGCACAGGGGAAGGAAGGGAGGCCCUCCUUCGUACACACCCUUCCCCCUUUCCUCUUGGGCUCCAAAGCCAGGCUUCAGGCUCACCUCUUUCAGGAAGCCCUCAAGAACCCCCCAGGAGCUGUGUGUGUCUGUGUGUCUGUCUACCUGGCAAGGAGAUAUGGCCCCCAUCAGACUGGAGCUCCACAGAGCAGGUCAAGCGAUUCUCCUGCCUCGGCCUCCCAAGGAACUGGAACCACAGGCGCGCGCCACUGCGCCCAAGGAUUUUCACUUUUAACUGUACAGUGAAGCACAGACUUCUGAGCCAGACUGCUUGGUCUGAACUCUGGUGUCACCACUUAGUAAGUUCUGGUUUGAAUGUACUCACUGAGUGGUCUUCAUAAAUUACCUCUCUGCACUUGAGUCUCCUGUCUGUAAAAUGGGGAUAAUAAUCAUUACAACGAAGCCUCAUAGGAUUCUGGUGGAGACCAAAUGCAUUAAUACAUAUGCAAAGCAUUUGGAACAGCUGGCAUAUAUAAGUGCCAUAUAUCUAUUAUUAAAAAUUUUUAAAUUAUAGAAUGGAUUAAUUUUUGGAUUUUAUAAGCAGAUUCCGCCCCCCGCCCCGCCUUAAAACUGUUAUGAAAAAGCAAGAAAGGCCAGGUGCAGUGGCUCACGCCUGUAAUCCCAGCACUUUGGGAGGCCAAGGUGGGCGGAUCACGAGGUCAGGAGUUCAAGACCAGCCUGGCCAACAUGGUGAAACCCUGUCUCUAGUAAAAACACAAAAAUUAGCUGGGCGUGCGGGCACCUGUAAUCCCAGCUACUUGGGAGGCUGAAGCAGGAGAAUUGCUGCCACUGCGGAGGUUGC